rnacentral:rRNA from 1 species
AUUGAACGCUGGCGGCAGGCUUAACACAUGCAAGUCGAGCGGGGUGAUGGUGCUUGCACUAUCACUUAGCGGCGGACGGGUGAGUAAUGCUUAGGAAUCUGCCUAUUAGUGGGGGACAACAUAUCGAAAGGGAUGCUAAUACCGCAUACGUCAUACGGGAGAAAGCAGGGGAUCACUUGUGACCUUGCGCUAAUAGAUGAGCCUAAGUCGGAUUAGCUAGUUGGUGGGGUAAAGGCCUACCAAGGCGACGAUCUGUAGCGGGUCUGAGAGGAUGAUCCGCCACACUGGGACUGAGACACGGCCCAGACUCCUACGGGAGGCAGCAGUGGGGAAUAUUGGACAAUGGGGGGAACCCUGAUCCAGCCAUGCCGCGUGUGUGAAGAAGGCCUUAUGGUUGUAAAGCACUUUAAGCGAGGAGGAGGCUCUUUUGGUUAAUACCCAAGAUGAGUGGACGUUACUCGCAGAAUAAGCACCGGCUAACUCCGUGCCAGCCGCCGCAGUAA